rnacentral:rRNA from 1 species
UACGUAGGUGGCAAGCGUUGUCCGGAUUUACUGGGCGUAAAGAGCGCGCAGGCGGUCGUGCAAGUCGCGUGUGAAAGCCCCCGGCUCAACUGGGGAGGGUCACGCGAUACUGCUCGACUCGAAGGCAGGAGAGGGAAGUGGAAUUCCCGGUGUAGUGGUGAAAUGCGUAGAUAUCGGGAGGAACACCAGUGGCGAAGGCGACUUCCUGGCCUGUUCUUGACGCUGAGGAGCGAAAGCGUGGGGAGCGAACAGG